UACGGAGGGUGCAAGCGUUAUCCGGAUUCACUGGGUUUAAAGGGUGCGUAGGCGGGUAGGUAAGUCAGUGGUGAAAUCCCCGAGCUCAACUUGGGAACUGCCGUUGAUACUAUCUAUCUUGAAUGUUGUGGAGGUGAGCGGAAUAUGUCAUGUAGCGGUGAAAUGCUUAGAUAUGACAUAGAACACCAAUUGCGAAGGCAGCUCGCUACACAAUUAUUGACGCUGAGGCACGAAAGCGUGGGGAUCAAACAGGA
rnacentral:rRNA from 1 species